AAAUUGAAGAGUUUGAUCAUGGCUCAGAUUGAACGCUGGCGGCAGGCCUAACACAUGCAAGUCGAGCGGAAACGAGUUGUCUGAACCUUCGGGGAACGAUAAUGGCGUCGAGCGGCGGACGGGUGAGUAAUGCCUAGGAAAUUGCCCUGAUGUGGGGGAUAACCAUUGGAAACGAUGGCUAAUACCGCAUGAUGCCUACGGGCCAAAGAGGGGGACCUUCGGGCCUCUCGCGUCAGGAUAUGCCUAGGUGGGAUUAGCUAGUUGGUGAGGUAAGGGCUCACCAA
rnacentral:rRNA from 1 species